UGGGUCUUGUGCUGGACAAUGAUCAGAUCUAAAGUUUUUUGUUCAGAAACCAGUUAAAAUUUGUUCUUCAGGCACAUGAGAACUAUGUAAAAUAUUAAUCAUGCCACACUUGAGAGCAUUGGGAGUAUGAUUGAAGCCACGCACAAAGGACAGAGGCACUGCAAAAGUUUUAAGCUCUGUGAAGUUUUUCCCUCUGCAUUUUGAGAGAACUAGGAUAUGGGCAUCUGAGCUUUGGAUAAGCUCAAGUUUACAGAUGGCGCAUGGUGGAAGAUCAGCCUGAAGAGUUCAAAGAAAAGCCGAGGCAGAAGCGGAAGUAGGUGAUCUUGUUGAAGAUGAAAUGGGAAUCAGAAAUUCUGAGUCAGAUAGGGCACCAGGAGAGGGAUGGAGUCAGGAGCGAGGGAACAGAACUUGUGGCGAGGACUGAAGGCAAUGGA